ACGCUGGCGGCACGCCUAACACAUGCAAGUCGAACGAAGUAGCAAUACUUAGUGGCAGACGGGUGAGUAACAUGUAGGUAUCUGCCCUUUGGCCUGGAAUAACACGAGGAAACUUGUGCUAAUACCGGAUAAGUCUUUACAGAGAAAGCUUUAUGCACCAUUGGAUGAGCCUGCACUUGAUUAGUUUGUUGGUGGGGUAAUGGCCUACCAAGACUGUGAUCAAUAGCUGAUUUGAGAGGAUGAUCAGCCACAUUGGGACUGAGACACGGCCCAAACUCCUACGGGAGGCAGCAGUGGGGAAUCUUGCACAAUGGAGGAAACUCUGAUGCAGCGAUGCCGCGUGAGUGAAGAAGGCCUUUGGGUUGUAAAGCUCUUUCGUCGGGGAAGAAAAUGACUGUACCCGAAUAAGAAGGUCCGGCUAACUUCGUGCCAGCAGCCGCGGUAAUACGAAGGGACCUAGCGUAGUUCGGAAUUACUGGGCUUAAAGAGUUCGUAGGUGGUUGAAAAAGUUAGUGGUGAAAUCCCAGAGCUUAACUCUGGAACUGCCAUUAAAACUUUUCAGCUAGAGUAUGAUAGAGGAAAGCAGAAUUUCUAGUGUAGAGGUGAAAUUCGUAGAUAUUAGAAAGAAUACCAAUUGCGAAGGCAGCUUUCUGGAUCAUUACUGACACUGAGGAACGAAAGCAUGGGUAGCGAAGAGGAUUAGAUACCCUCGUAGUCCAUGCCGUAAACGAUGUGUGUUAGACGUUGGAAAUUUAUUUUCAGUGUCGCAGGGAAACCGAUAAACACACCGCCUGGGGAGUACGACCGCAAGGUUAAAACUCAAAUGAAUUGACGGGGACCCGCACAAGUAGUGGAGCAUGUGGUUUAAUUCGAAGAUACGCGCAGAACCUUACCAACACUUGACAUGUUCGUCGCGACUCUAAGAGAUUAGAGUUUUCGGUUCGGCCGGACGAAACACAGGUGCUGCAUGGCUGUCGUCAGCUCGUGUCGUGAGAUGUUGGGUUAAGUCCCGCAACGAGCGCAACCCUCACUUUUAGUUGCCAUCAUUAAGUUGGGCACUCUGAAAGAACUGCCAGUGAUAAGCUGGAGGAAGGUGGGGAUGACGUCAAGUCCUCAUGGCCCUUACGUGUUGGGCUACACACGUGCUACAAUGGUAUCUACAACAGGAAGCAAGACUGCGAAGUUAAGCAAAUCCCUAAAAGAUACCUCAGUUCGGAUUGCACUCUGCAACUCGAGUGCAUGAAGCUGGAAUUACUAGUAAUCGUGGAUCAGCGUGCCACGGUGAAUGCGUUCCCGGGUCUUGUACUCACCGC
rnacentral:rRNA from 1 species